rnacentral:lncRNA from 1 species
AAAACAAAUGAAUGAAUAAAACAAGAGCAAAAAAUUGCGGUGUCGUGGAUUGUUGUGUGUGGAUGUAAGAGAGGAAACAAAUUGAAUUAGUGAGGAAGGUGAAUUAGGGUUAGAUGAAUGUUUCUGAUUUUUUUAGUUGAAACUACUUACAGAGAGAAUGUUGGAGUGAGAAAAAUAAAAGAGAAAGGGUUGAGAGGAAAGAAGGAUGAGAGACGGGUGAGUAAGGGUUUGAGAUUUCUUGUUUUUUUUUUCUUAGUUUUGAGAAUGAAAAUUAUUCAAAUACUCUUGACCUUAAAACUUAGAAUUUAUAAUAUACGAGGAUAUUUUUGUCUACUAAAACUCGGUACACUUUGCUAAAAUAUACCAACUAAAAAAACUUAAUA